rnacentral:misc_RNA from 1 species
UACAGAGGCCCCAAGCGUUAUCCGGAAUUAUUGGGCGUAAAGGGUGUGUAGGUGGUCAUAUUAGUCUCAUGUUAAAUUCUCAAGCUCAACUUGAGGUCUGCAUGGGAAACGGUAUGACUAGAGGAUGCGAGAGGUGUACGGAACUCAUGGAGUAGGGGUGAAAUCCGUUGAUAUCAUGGGGAACACCAAAAGCGAAGGCAGUACACUGGCGUACUCCUGACACUGAGACACGAAAGCUAGGGUAGCGAACGGG